rnacentral:rRNA from 1 species
UACGGAGGAUGCAAGCGUUAUCCGGAUUUAUUGGGUUUAAAGGGUGCGUAGGCUGUGCGGAAAGUCAGAGGUGAAAGCCCGGGGCUCAACUCCGGAACUGCCUUUGAUACUUCCGUGCUGGAAUACGGAUGCCGUGGGAGGAAUGAGUAGUGUAGCGGUGAAAUGCAUAGAUAUUACUCAGAACACCGAUUGCGAAGGCAUCUCACGAAUCCGUUAUUGACGCUGAGGCACGAAAGCGUGGGGAU